CGGACCUGAAAGGUGAAAACCAAUGAAUGAACGGAGAAACGAAUCAGCUCACAAGCCUGGAGUGUGUGUGUUUGUUUCUUUUACAUUCACCAGCUGGCCUGUUUUUUGUGAUUUAUACACUUCAUUCUAGACCUCCUCCUGUCGGGUGAUGGUGGUCUGCCGCUGCUCCAACAUGGCGAGCAGCUCUGAGAUCUUCAGCUGGAGACUCUUCUCUGAGGACGACUUCUCGCUGGUGGUGGUGGUGGUGGUCGUCGUGAUCUUCGUUAUCUGGUUCUGUUGGGGGACGGAGAGAGAUGAGGGACAAAUGAGUACAAAAAGAGCUUAAGGUGGUGCUGCUGCCUUGGCCUGCCAGCUGCAGGACGCAGAGAGGAAGAGCAAACAUCACCAUCAUCAUCAUGAAGUUCAAGUGACCUGAUUACACUGAUCUCGACACACACAUGGUGAGGGCGAGACAGGUGGUGUGU